GAUGAACGCUGGCGGCGUGCCUAAUACAUGCAAGUCGAGCGAACAGACGAGGAGCUUGCUCCUCUGACGUUAGCGGCGGACGGGUGAGUAACACGUGGAUAACCUACCUAUAAGACUGGGAUAACUUCGGGAAACCGGAGCUAAUACCGGAUAAUAUAUUGAACCGCAUGGUUCAAUAGUGAAAGACGGUUUUGCUGUCACUUAUAGCUGGAUCCGCGCCGCAUUAGCUAGUUGGUAAGGUAACGGCUUACCAAGGCAACGAUGCGUAGCCGACCUGAGAGGGUGAUCGGCCACACUGGAAGUGAGACACGGUCCAGACUCCUACGGGAGGCAGCAGGAGGGAAUCGUCCGGAAGGGGCGAAAGCCUGACGGAGCAACGCCGCGGGAGUGAUGAAGGUCGUCGGAUCGGAAAACUCUGUUAUUAGGGAAGAACAAAUGUGUAAGUAACAAUGCACGUCUUGACGGGACCUAAUCAGAGAGCCACGGCUAACUACGUG
rnacentral:rRNA from 1 species